CACAGGGAGAUCACCAUAAAAACCUAACACUGGAUGAAGGAAAGAUGGCAAUGCUGCAGAAGAAUGUGCCAUAGGAGCCCGAGCCUUCAGUACACGUGACUACAUUGUUGCUUCAGAAUCUGCUGGAGUCUGGUUUGAUUUGCUUUGGAAGAAAGAACGCUGCAAAUCCUAAUCCAAGAAUGCUUAGGAAGAAGGAUAGAAGCAGAAACAGGAGAGAAUGGAGAGACUCUUUAAGAUGAAGAAAGAAUGUUGGCCUUCAGCGUGUUCUUCAAGUAAAGACCCAUGCCCAGCACUCUUGAAGCAUGUUGGGGAGGAGCUUGGAGAGGAAUAACUAUGUGGCAUAGAGUAAAUUGCACAGGAAACUUCUCUGAUUGAAUAUUGGAGGUCAUCUUUUGGCAGCUGCAAGGCAGAAAUUUCUGAUUUGUGUUACAACCAGUCUAGCCCUCUGUGUCUUGGCUACGGACAGACAUGCCUCCACAAAGACACAAACCAGAAUGGAAUCUAACAGGAACCUUGGUGAGAGAUGUGCUCUGGGAGGAAUGAGAUAUGAAGACAGGACUCAAGAAACGGUGGCUAUAGACUUCUUAUAGGAGGCUUUAACUUUCUCAGUUUUGAAAUGCCAUAUUUGUUUUGCUGUGCGAUGAAUAUAAGUGAAUUAACAAUGU
rnacentral:lncRNA from 1 species